GUGCUUACUUCGGCAGUGCGUGUACUAAAAUUGGAAUGAUAAAGGGAAGAUUAGAAUGGCUCCUACACAAGGAUGACACACAAAUUCAUGAUGCGUUCCAUAUUUUU